CAUUUAGUUUAGAAAACUUGUAAUUGUAAAUUCUUUAUCUGUCCCUUUGAGAUGCAAAUAUUUUUAAAGACUUCUUGUUAGUUCUACAUUCCAGGACAAAUGUUUCUCAAGGGCCUGGGAGCCAUCCCUUUGAAAUGUAAUCAUCAGUUGUAGCAUACUACUAACCAGUCCCUGUGGGAGGGAGGGAGGAGCCUAAUAUAGGCAGACACCUUGCUCCAAGUGGUAAAAAAGUUAUUCACGCUUAAUAUUAACUAUUAUCAUUAAUUAUUUGUUUAUGUCUAUUAAACCUUAUAGAAACCUGGGCUAUCAUUUCAAGAUGUGAAUUUUUAGCUGAGGAAUUGGCAGGUGCAAAGAAUGUGGCAGGAAGGGCAUGGUUUGCUUGGAGCCCAGGGGAGUGGACCGGUGUGGUUUCCUAUCAGCAGACGUAGUAGUUAGCCAGGAUAGGCCCCUUAUGCCAAGCUAAGGAGUUUGAACUUGAGCAUGGUCCGCAAGGCCAUGCAUGGUUUUUAAACAAACUGUCUUACAUGAGUAUGUUGUGGUUUUAGAAAGAUGGCAUGCUCACCAUUUUGUGUGGAAAGAGACUGGGGAACUGGUUGGUGGACCACCUACCAUGGGCCAGUGACUGCUGAAUGCAGAGGAAACAUCUGCAAUAGAGUAGUGGGAGAUGGAACUGCCAGGCAGAGUGACUGCUCACAGAGGGACAGAGCGCUAUAGGGGUCAAGGAGCAUCCUGAGGCUCCUAGCUAAAUUCAUACUUAGGGUGGGCCAUGAACCAUAGGCAUCUUCCAUGAGGAGCCAGCUUGGAAUGGGGAAGGUGAAACAUUCCACUUGAGGUGUGUGGAACACGCCGUACCAGCUGAACCUGUCGCAAAGCCUAGGAAUGUUUGUAAACAUAGGCAGGGACUUGAGAUGAGACGUUCUAGAACCAGAGACUGGGAGUCAUCAGCAUCCCGAUUCCCAGAGAUUCUAAGUGAAUGGAUGAAAUUACUCAGAACGUAUAGUGGAAGCACAGAGAAAAAUUCAUCUAAUUCUGGGGAAUUUCCAAUAUUUGGAGACAGUAAAAGGAAGAACCAAAGAGUCUGCUACCGAGAGAUCAGGGACGUGCUGGGAGAACUGGGAGGGAGUGUAUGCCCCGGCCAGGGGCCAAGGGAAGGAAUCCUCCCUCACGUCCAGGACAAGCAGGGAGGCUGUGGCCGGAGGAGGGACAGCAGCCCUCGGUGAGGCAGGUUGGGCCUGGGGCAGCCUCCGCACAGCAGAGGGCAGCAGCUAGAGAACUGCGCAGCACGUAAAGUGAGAGAUUGAUUUGAAUAAGGAGACUUGAGUGGCUGCGGCUGCGCAGUGAGGGGGAAGUAAGUGGAGAAGCAGUUUUGUUUUCUUCCUCAAGUUGAGGGGAAGCAACCAAUGAAGAAGAAAAUAUGGAAGACACAAAAAGACAAAAACAGAGGAGGGUAAGAGGGAGGAGAGAGAUUGAGAGAGACAGCACAACCAAUGAGCUGGAUCGCACAGUCUCUAAAGACCUUCUGUGAAAGCUGCCUACUCCUUUCAUCCCAAGGACCAGAUUUGACAGCCUGAUCUCUGAUAAAAUGAAGAACCUGUAAUUUCAAUUAAAAAGACAAUUGAGUACACUUUGCAGAGAAGUAAUCAUAUGAAAUACACAUCCAUAAAUACAAAGUAGUAAUUCCUGUAACUGCAGAACAUAUAGUUAAUUAAAUAAAGGAACUCUGAUUUGAUUUAAGUGAUGUAUUAAACUAGUAGAGUAAGUCAUGAGCUGCUUUUAAAUAAUUAAGAUUUCUAGUCUUUUUAUUUUAACACUUUUUUAUAAGAUAUUUUAGGUUGAUAUUGGGAAUACACUGAGGUAAAAUUGUCUUUUCUGUUAUUUUUAUUUAAAAAACACAUUUAUAUAUACAUAU